UAAGCAUAUCAAUAAGCGGAGGAAAAGAAACUAACAAGGAUUCCCCUAGUAACUGCGAGUGAAGCGGGAAAAGCUCAAAUUUAAAAUCUGGCGGUCUUCGGCCGUCCGAGUUGUAGUCUGGAGAAGUGCUUUCCGCGCUGGACCGUGUACAAGUCUCUUGGAACAGAGCGUCAUAGAGGGUGAGAAUCCCGUCUUUGACACGGACUACCAGUGCUUUGUGAUGCGCUCUCAAAGAGUCGAGUUGUUUGGGAAUGCAGCUCAAAAUGGGUGGUAAAUUCCAUCUAAAGCUAAAUAUUGGCGAGAGACCGAUAGCGAACAAGUACCGUGAGGGAAAGAUGAAAAGCACUUUGGAAAGAGAGUUAAACAGUACGUGAAAUUGCUGAAAGGGAAACGAUUGAAGUCAGUCGCGUUAGCCAGGACUCAGCCUUGUUUUUACUUGGUGCAUUUUCUGGUUGACGGGCCAGCAUCGAUUUUGACCGCCGGAAAAAGAUUGGGGGAAUGUGGCACCUUCGGGUGUGUUAUAGCCCUCAGUCACAUACGGCGAUUGGGAUCGAGGACCGCAGCACGCCUUUAUGGCCGGGGUUCGCCCACGUUCGUGCUUAGGAUGCUGGCGUAAUGGCUUUAAACGACCCGUCUUGAAACACGGACCAAGGAGUCUAACAUGCCUGCGAGUGUUUGGGUGGAAAACCCGAGCGCGUAAUGAAAGUGAAAGUUGAGAUCCCUGUCGCGGGGAGCAUCGACGCCCGGACUUGAACUUCGGUGAUAGAUCUGCGGUAGAGCAUGUAUGUUGGGACCCGAAAGAUGGUGAACUAUGCCUGAAUAGGGUGAAGCCAGAGGAAACUCUGGUGGAGGCUCGUAGCGAUUCUGACGUGCAAAUCGAUCGUCAAAUUUGGGUAUAGGGGCGAAAGACUAAUCGAACCAUCUAGUAGCUGGU
rnacentral:rRNA from 1 species